rnacentral:rRNA from 1 species
UACGGGAGGCAGCAGUGGGGAAUAUUGCACAAUGGGCGCAAGCCUGAUGCAGCAACGCCGCGUGGGGGAUGACGGCCUUCGGGUUGUAAACCUCUUUCAGUAGGGACGAAGCGUAAGUGACGGUACCUACAGAAGAAGCACCGGCCAACUACGUGCCAGCAGCCGCGGUA